UACGUAGGGUGCAAGCGUUGUCCGGAUUUAUUGGGCGUAAAGCGCGUGUAGGCGGCCAGAUAGGUCUGCUGUGAAAACUCGAGGCUCAACCUCGAGCUGUCGGCGGAAACCAUCUGGCUAGAGUCCGGAAGAGGAGAGUGGAAUUCCUGGUGUAGCGGUGAAAUGCGCAGAUAUCAGGAAGAACACCGAUGGCGAAGGCAGCUCUCUGGGACGGUACUGACGCUGAGACGCGAAAGCGUGGGGAGCGAACAGG
rnacentral:rRNA from 1 species